AGAGUUUGAUCCUGGCUCAGGACGAACGCUGGCGGUGCGCCUAAUGCAUGCAAGUCGAACGAGAACUAGAUCUUUCGUAAGAAAGAUCUAGGGACAGUGGCGAACGGGUGCGUAACACGUGAGAAACCUGCCCUGGAGAUUGGGAUAGCCCGAGGAAACUCGGAUUAAUACCAAAUAUGCUCACAGGACCACAUGGUCCGGUGAGGAAACAGUCCGCUGCUCCAGGAUGGUCUCGCGGCCUAUCAGCUUGUUGGUGAGGUAAUGGCUCACCAAGGCUCCGACGGGUAGCUGGUCUGAGAGGACGAUCAGCCACACUGGGACUGAGACACGGCCCAGACUCCUACGGGAGGCAGCAGCAGGGAAUAUUGCACAAUGGGCGAAAGCCUGAUGCAGCGACACCGCGUGCGGGAUGAAGGCCUUCGGGUUGUAAACCGCUUUCAGGAGGGACGAAAAUGACGGUACCUCCAGAAGAAGGCCCGGCCAACUACGUGCCAGCAGCCGCGGUAAUACGUAGGGGCCGAGCGUUGUCCGGAUUUAUUGGGCGUAAAGGGCUCGUAGGCGGUUUGACAAGUCGGACGUGAAAACCCGGGGCUCAACCCCGGGACGCCGUUCGAAACUGUCAUGACUAGGGUCCGGUAGAGGUGAGUGGAAUUCUCGGUGUAGCGGUGAAAUGCGCAGAUAUCGAGAGGAACACCAGUAGCGAAGGCGGCUCACUGGGCCGGUACCGACGCUGAGGAGCGAAAGCGUGGGGAGCAAACAGGAUUAGAUACCCUGGUAGUCCACGCCGUAAACGUUGAAUACUAGGUGUGGCGAGUUAAUCCAUACUUGCCGUGCCGCAGCUAACGCAUUAAGUAUUCCGCCUGGGGAGUACGGCCGCAAGGCUAAAACUCAAAGGAAUUGACGGGGCCCCGCACAAGCGGCGGAGCAUGCGGCUUAAUUCGAUGCGACCCGAAGAACCUUACCUGGACUUGACAUUAUGGGUCUAUCCCUAGAGAUAGGGAGUGCUUAUGCGCCCAUAACAGGUGGUGCAUGGCUGUCGUCAGCUCGUGCCGUGAGAUGUUGGGUUAAGCCCCGCAACGAGCGCAACCCUUAUCCUUAGUUGCCAGCACAUUAUGGUGGGAACUCUAAGGAGACUGCCGGUGAUAAACCGGAGGAAGGUGGGGAUGACGUCAAGUCAUCAUGGCCCUUAUGGGUAGGGCUACACACGUGCUACAAUGGCCAGUACAGAGGGCAGCAAACUCGCGAGAGUAAGCAAAUCCCACAAAGCUGGUCGUAGUCCGGAUUGGAGUCUGCAACUCGACUCCAUGAAGUUGGAAUCGCUAGUAAUCGUGAAUCAGAAUGUCACGGUGAAUACGUUCCCGGGCCUUGUACACACCGCCCGUCACACCAUGGGAGUGGGCUGCAAAAGAAGUGGGUAGUUUAACCUUCGGGAGAACGCUCACCACUUUGUGGUUCAUGACUGGGGUGAAGUCGUAACAAGGUA
rnacentral:rRNA from 1 species